rnacentral:lncRNA from 1 species
ACAGAAUCUGUGUAGCCCUGCUGGCCUGAACUUUUUUUCUUCUGCAUUUGUUCAUUCAUUCAUUCAUUCAUUCAUUCAUUCAUUCAUGGUUUUUCGAGGCAGAAUUUCUCUGUGUAGCCUUGGCUGUCCUGGAACUCACUCUGUAGACCAGGUUAGCCUGGAAUUCAGUCUGCUUCUGCCUCCUGACUGCUGGCAUUAAAGGUGUUCAACACUACUUACUGCCAGAUGAGAUCCUGUCUUUAAAAAAAGUUUUCUUAUUCUGAAAUUAUUCACUGAAAAAUAAGCCUGUAGUCCGAGAAAGCCACUGGUCUUAAUAGAGGACAUCUAAGAUUUCACAUCCCAUCUGCAGAUGGGAAAUGAAAGCCGACUAGACAGUGACAACUUCUGAGGAAGCUGAGGAAGUAUUAACUUGGCAGGUAGCACUCGCUGACCAACCUGGGCUUGGUAGCUCACAUUGACAGUCACAGGCUUGGGAGCCUGAAGCAGGAGAAUUGUCACAAGCUCAAGGGCACCUUGGCUACAAAGUAAGAUCCAUCUCAAACAAACAAACUUAAAAAAUGUGGAGACCUGUCUUGGCCCUGCCUUCCUGUCAGUGUUGAAGCCACGUCUUGAUGUUUCCCCUCCAGCAUCUUCCCACUUUCCUUUGUGGAGCAUAAGCACAGAUGAUCAGGUGCCCUGGCAGAGAGCCUUAAGGAAAUGCUGUCUUCAUUAUCCAUAAACCUGGAGCAGCCCUGGGCUGGUUGCCCAACCAGAAAGCCUCUUUAGUGUUCAUCCUUCUAGGCUGAGCCAAGCUGAAUUCCCUCAGCCCUUGGUAGUACUAAGGGAAUGGUCCCUUCCGACCCGUUGUUCAACAGCAGUUUGUCUCCAGGUUUGUACUUGCUGUCGUGUGGGCAGAGAUGCCAUUCACUGAUUCUUUUCUUUUCUUCUUUGGAGACAGGGUCUCUUUGUAUAUCCCUGGCUGUCCUGGAACUUAAUGUGUAGACCAGACUGGCCUCACAAGAUCCACCUACCUAUGCUUCCCUAGUGCUGGAUUAAAGGCAUACACUGCCACACAGCCCAAAUCUUGUCCCAUGAAUGCCAAGGAACUCAGGAGUUGCAGUGUCUUGGUAAAUUAUCUUCCAUUUGUAUCUGAGCUGGCUGAUGUGGCUCACCCUGGAUGGACAGGAAAUAAAAAAAAAACAUCGAUUGUGUUCCUUCUCAUUAGAGAAUCGAUGGCUGUCUUGGAAGUGGGUCUGUUUCUAUGCUUAAUAUUCUGCAGCAUUUAAUGAUAGCAGAGGCUCACAUCCUGUUUAGCAGGGCUCAUUAGAAUGCUGACUGUAAGCAAAGUGAAGGUGUUUUUACUCUCUGCUUUUAGAAGUGAACAGAGAUAAAAGAAAGGUGUUUCAUUUAUUCCUAGACUGCUGAAAGCCUUCAGACAACAAACAUGUUUCUGUGCUCUUGGUAACAGGCCACUCUAGGCUGCUUGCUUAUAGCUUAGCAGGUAAUCUUGAUCUGUCUUGGUGUUCACUCUUGAUGCAGAGCAGAAAGAGGCUCCUGACCCCAAUAAGGUGAAUCUCCUCGCCGUGGCAUGUUUGCCCUGUGUGCUAGACAACAGCGCUACCUGCCCCACACACGGCAUUUCCUCUUGGCAGGUAGCAGUUUACAUAGCUGGGCUAAGGAAUGCCAGAGAUAAUCCUCUUGCUUUUUCAAUAUGCAAUAAAGUCCCUUUUCUGUGCCCAGUUCCUGACCUAGAAUCCUGCCCCUACAAAAUGAGUCCAUAGAGUAUGCAUAUAGUAAGCAGAACAUCAGACAGGGUUCAUCUUAGCAAACCUUACAACCUGGCAAGAAAGGAGCCAGCCCAGGUCUAUGUCUGUGACCCUGGUACACACUGCUUAGAAGGUCAAGUUUGUACAGUUUGACUUGCUCCUUUUGGCCGAGGAAGAAUCACAGUCUUUGGGCCCCUAUAGCUUUUCCUGGCUACUCACUACAAAACCGACCACAUUGUCUGUUCUGCCUAGGGUACUCUCAGUCGCUUUAUGGGGACUUGACUCCAUUUUCUACUCAUCCCAGGAUGUAGUUCAGGGAUUCUCUCUGCUUGCCUGUGGUGCCACAUUUUGGGCAUUGCCUUCUGACCUCGACUUAACUCAGUUUCCAAAGGCUCCAGUAGUUUCCUGAGGCAUAGGUGUCUGGCAUCAGGCCUUCUAGGCAGUGAUGUUUCAUGUUUCCCAGCAAUCCCCAAAUAAAGGUGUCAAAGCACAGCUGUCACCAGUGUCCCCUCAUUUGGAGGCUUCCCUAGCACUGGCAGUGAGGAAAGUCUGUCCUAGUGUGAAAGGGAAUGUGAGCAGCCUUUAAAUAAAUGAAAUGGGCUGGCGAGGUACAUCAGCGGGUAAGAACACUUGCUACUCUUCCAUUGGGACCCAGGUUUGCAUCAAUACCAGCUCACAACCUUUCGUAACUCCAUGAAUACAAUACCUUCUGGCUUCUAUGAGCUAUAUGCACACCUGUGAAAUACACACAAACACAUACACAUAAAUUUAAAAAUUAAGAGAGGUUAAAGAGAUGGCUUAGCAGUUACUAGAACUUACUGCUCUUGUAGAGGGACCAGGUUCACUUCCCAGAACCUAUCUGGUGGCUACCAACCUCCUUUAACUCCAGUUCCAGGGAUUCUAACACCUGGCUUCUUUGGGCUCUUGCAUACACAUGGCACAUAUAAAUCCAUGCAGACAUACACAUAAAUAAAAGCCUUUAAAAUAUAAAAUAAAAUAAAAUUAGGCAUGUGGCACAUAAUUUUAGGCCCAGCACUGAGAUGUGAGAUUGGCUUAAAAAUCAUGUUAUGCCGGGCAGUGAGUGGUAGCACACGCCUUUAAUCCCAGCACUUGAGAGGCAGAGACAGGCAGAUUUCUGAGUUCGAGGCCAGCCUGGUCUACAGAGUGAGUUCCAAGACAGCCAGGGCUACACAGAGAAACCCUGUC